GGUCCUGUGGUCUAGUGGUAUGAUUCUCGCUUUGGGUGCGAGAGGCCCCGCGUUCGAACCGCGGCAGGACCC
rnacentral:tRNA from 4 species